rnacentral:tRNA from 1 species
GAAAGUAUAGCUCAGUGGUAGAGUGCAUGCCUAGCAUGCAUGAGGUCCUGGGUUCAAUCCCCAGGACCUCCA